AAGCUUUAGCUUAAUUAAAGUGUCUGGGUUGCAUUCAGAAGAUGUGGGGUAAUAUCCUGCAGGUUUUA
rnacentral:tRNA from 1 species